rnacentral:rRNA from 1 species
AUAAUUUUAUAUUUAUACUUAAUAUAAUUAUAUUUAUUUUUAUAGAAUCAUCUUGAGUUUUUAGUAUCAUUUAGAAAUAAUAACUUUUGUGAUAGUUUAUUUUACCGUGAGGGAUAAAUUUUAAAUUGUAUUAAAGUAGACUUGUAUUGUUGUACCUUUUGCAUCAGGGUUUACCUAAUUUAGGGUAGUUAUACUAUUCAUCCCGAAUUUGAGGGAGUUACGUUUAUAUGGAAUUUUAUGUGUCAUAAUAAUUUUUAAUAUAAGCGUGGAAGUGAUAUGCUAUUCAUUCUUAAUUAUCUGGUUUCUUGAGAAUUGUAUUUAAUACAGAGUAUUACAGUUAAGAUAUAAUUUUAUUUACUGAAAAUUGUAAUACUGUAGGCGUUUAGGGAUAAGCUUAAACGUUAAUUCAUAACUUUAAGUGCAUUUAAAGGGGUGUGUAGGCUUACGAACAGCCAUCGAUACUUCGUUGUAGUUACCCCUUUUUUAUUUUUUAUUUUAAAAAGGUUUGAUUAUUUAUCAAGAAUCUUUAGAUACCUAAUUUACUGUGGGUUAUACUGGUAGAAUUAGUAUUUUAUAUCAACUGAGAAGUAAGAACUCGGCAAAUUUGGCUCCCGCCUGUUUAACAAAAACAUGUUCUAUUGUCUAUUUAUUUUAGAUCUGGCCUGCCCUAUGAUUAAUUAUUAAAUGGCCGCAGUAUCCUGACUGUGCAAAGGUAGCAUAAUCAUUUGUCUUUUAAUUGAAGGCUUGUAUGAAUGGUUGGACGUGGAUGCCCACUUUUUUCUUUUUAUUUGAAGAACUUAAUUUUUGUGUUAAAAAGCUUAAAUUCUUUCAUGGGACGAGAAGACCCUAUAGAAUUUUAUAAUGAUGUUUAUGGGUUUAAUUUAAGUAAUUAUUAUUUAAUUCUUUUGUUUCAUUAUUUUGUUGGGGUGACAGAGAGAUUUAUUGGACUCUCUUUUAUAAAGAGUCGAUUUUAUCGUGUAUUUGAUCCUUUAUUAAGGAUUAUAAGAUCAAAUUACCUUAGGGAUAACAGCGUGAUUUCUUCGGAGAGUUCUUAUCGAUGAAGAAGUUUGCGACCUCGAUGUUGGAUUAAAAUUAGUGGUAGGUGUAGCCGCUUACUUACUAGGUCUGUUCGACCUUUAAAAUUUUACAUGAUCUGAGUUCAGACCGGCGUGAGCCAGGUUGGUUUCUAUCUAUGAAUUUUUGUAGCUGUUUUAGUACGAAAGGACCAGACAGUGGAGUUAUACUUUAUUUUGUAUGUAUUAUAUUA